GGAUUGUGGCUCAGUGGUAGCAUGCUUGCCUGGCAUGUAUGAGGCACUGGGUUCAAUCCUCAGCACCA
rnacentral:tRNA from 1 species